AAAUUCAUUGGUGUAGCACUUUGUCCCGCAGAGCACUUAGCUCUCACAUUUUCUGCUGGUAUUCGGCUCUGAUACCAAUUGUAACGACCCGACCCGCUAGCAACAAUAACUCGUUGGGCCCAAACAACCGGCCCAAAAUGCUUAAGCCCGGUUAUUAUUACUAGCGUAUAGGCCUCAUAUAAACAGAUCGAAAUCAGUAUCCCAUCCGAAGUGGGACUAUUGGGGCGUUACACCGGGCUCACGAAAAGU
rnacentral:lncRNA from 1 species